rnacentral:rRNA from 1 species
CUGACGCAGCCAUGCCGCGUGAAUGAUGAAGGUCUUAGGAUUGUAAAAUUCUUUCACCGGGGACGAUAAUGACGGUACCCGGAGAAGAAGCCCCGGCUAACUUCGUGCCAGCAGCCGCGGUAAUACGAAGGGGGCUAGCGUUGCUCGGAAUUACUGGGCGUAAAGGGCGCGUAGGCGGAUCGUUAAGUCAGGGGUGAAAUCCCGGGGCUCAACCUCGGAAUUGCCCUUGAUACUGGCGAUCUUGAGUAUGAGAGAGGUAUGUGGAACUCCGAGUGUAGAGGUGAAAUUCGUAGAUAUUCGGAAGAACACCAGUGGCGAAGGCGACAUACUGGCUCAUUACUGACGCUGAGGCGCGAAAGCGUGGGGAGCAAACAGGAUUAGAUACCCUGGUAGUCCACGCCGUAAACGAUGAUUGCUAGUUGUCGGGCUGCAUGCAGUUCGGUGACGCAGCUAACGCAUUAAGCAAUCCGCCUGGGGAGUACG